GUUUCCACGGCCAUUCCUGCCCAACUUCAAAUACGUUGGAGGACUUCACUGCACCCCUGCCAAACCCUUACCCAAGGACAUGGAGGAGUUUGUACAGAGCUCAGGGGAUGAUGGGAUUGUGGUCUUCAGUCUGGGGUCUAUGAUAGACAAAAUGCCCAAAGAGACGAGCAAUAUGAUCGCCUCCGCACUGGCACAGAUUCCACAGAAGGUUUUAUGGCGAUACGGUGGAGAGAAGCCAGAUACUCUUGGUGCAAACACCAGAAUCUAUAAGUGGAUCCCUCAGAAUGAUUU